rnacentral:rRNA from 1 species
AUUAGUUUUUUAAUUGAAGGCUAGAAUGAAUGGUUGGACAAGAAAUAAUCUGUCUUAAUUAAAUAAAUUGAAUUUAACUUUUAAGUGAAAAGGCUUAAAUAAUCUAAAGGGACGAUAAGACCCUAUAAAACUUUAUAUUUAAUAAUAGUAAUUAAUUUUAUUUUAAGAGUAUUAUUUAAAAAUAUUUGGUUGGGGUGACAAGGAUAAAAUAUAAAAUAACUGUCUUUUUUUAUUACAAUAAUAUUUGGUUUAAUGAUCCUGAAAUGGAUUAAAGAUUAAGUUACUUUAGGGAUAACAGCGUAAUUUUCUUUAAGAGUUCUGAUCGACAAGAAAG